rnacentral:rRNA from 1 species
AUGGCGUGGCUUCGUGACCCUUCCUUUGUUGGCAAGGUGGUGACAGUGGAGAUACCUGAGCCGAAGCUGACAAACAAGCCACCCGAGUCCAUGGAUGAGUAUGAAGCAAUGCAAUUCGAAUUGGGUGAAUACGGACCAUCGUCGCCGAGGAAGAAGAACAGCUUACUGUAUCCUGUCAUUUGCCACAUGAAGGAGGUUGUUGAUCUUGGUCCUCUGCUUGCUAAAGGACUACCUGAUGAGUGGCUGCGAGGAGAAGGCGAGGACCUGACUCGCAAGCAUAUCUUCAAGACUGUGCUGGGCAAGAUCGACGGCACUGACGGUGAUGAAGGAGUUUGA